rnacentral:lncRNA from 1 species
AGGAACCAAAGAAACCUGCAGGCUCUGUCUAUUCACCCAGGGAUCGCUUUCCUGGUGGUGAAAUGAAACCAGCUUCUUUGUGGAACGGAGUGAUCACUGGCUGCCAGUAACACGACCCUCUACAAUGUGUAGAGAGGGAAAUGAAGGCUAGCUCAUCCGAAGGAAACUACAGGGCAAUUUUAGAUCAGCAGAAUGCAAUUAUCCAAGUUGGAAUUGUUCCAGGACACCAAAAGCGAACUUUAAAGCAAACUGUACUCCCAAAAUGGGACUCAAACUCAUGACCUAGAGAUCAAGAGUCACAUGUUCUACUGACUGAACAGGUAGGUGCUCCUCUGCAGUAUUUUUUCAUAAAUUAUUGGCAAUAGCCUUUUUUCUAAGUUUGAAAUACUUUCAUAAGCCCUUAAAAAACCCUAGCCCACAUUAACUUAUAGAUUAAAUAUUUCUGCUCUUACCAUUUGGGUUCAGGCCAAAUAGCAUCCCAUACUCAGAAGAGGUGUUUUCUAACUACCCUUUCCAAAAUAUCUACCCACUUCACAUUCAGUGGCUUUCUGUCAUUUAUUGUACUUUUUAUAGUUUCUAUAUGACUGAAUGAAUUCACACAUCCUAGGUUAAUUCUACCGUAAUACUGAUUUAAAAUAAUAAUACUGAUUUAAAUUUGCAUUUGUAUAGAACUCAUAACUAAACCAUAGUGGUUUCAACAGUAACAAUUCAAGAUGCCAUUUUCAAAGGUAUCUGGUGUUGUAGGGUAGGAGGUUGGGCAGUGGCUCAUUUUAAGUUUUAAAUACAAAAACACAUACAUACAUGCACACAUACUUCCAUCAAGGAAACUUUAAAAACAAAAAAAAAAUUUCAGGUAUAAAUCAAAUAUCUUGGUGAAAACUACGGGACAGAAAAUGUAGCACUCAUUUGUGAAGCUCCAGACCAGAGAAGUAUGUAAUGGUAUCAUUCAGCCUUCAAAAACAGUAAUGGAAAGCAAGUAUCAGAGCCCAUGGAGGCUCCCUUUACAGAGAUUGAAUUUUAAUUAUCUUCCAGAAAUCACUUUGUUUAAAAAAAAAAAUCUCUUGUUAAACAACACCUCCUGAUAUUUUGAUAGAUACCAGG